UUCCAGAUUGUUCUACUCCAGUGUACCAUGCAGAGAUAUGUGUCAGAUAUAUGUUGCAUCUGUCCUGUCUGUGUCUUCAUUAAAACACCAAACCAUUUUCUCCGCUGGUAUCCCAGGCACCAAAGGGUAUUCUGGCACAACACCAAAUAGAUGUUUCUGCCUGACACCAUCAGGGUAUUCUGGCCCAACACCAAAUAGAUGUUCCAGCCUGAAACUAUCAGGGUAUUCGGGCCCAACACCAAAUAGAUGUUCCAGCCUGACACCAUCAGGGUAUUCUGGCCCAACACCAAAUAGAUGUUCCAGCCUGACACCAUCAGGGUAUUCGGACCCAACACCAAAUAGAUGUUCCAGCCUGACACCAUCAGGGUAUUCGGGCCCAACACCAAAUAGAUGUUCCAGCCUGACACCAUCAGGGUAUUUGGGCCCAACACCAGAUAGAUGUUCCAGCCUGACACCAUCAGGGUAUUUGGGCCCAACACCAAAUAGUUGUUCUAGCCUGACACCAUCAGGGUAUUUGGGCCCAACACCAAAUAGAUGUUCCAGCCUGACACCAUCAGGGUAUUCAUGCCCAACACCAAAUUGUUGUUCCAGGCUGACACCAUCAGGGUAUUUGGGCCCAACACCAAAUAGAAUUUCCAGCCUGACAUCAUCAGGGUAUUUGGGCCCAACACCAAAUAGCUAUUCCAGCCCAAUUCCUGGAUAUUCCAGCUAAACACCUGGUUCAACAGCAAGACCAUCCUGAAGCCCAGCACCUACAAUGUGGGAAGCCCAUUGUUGGACUCAAACUUGAAGCCCUGUCUGCAAACAUAGGUUACUGUGAGUAUAAGGACUCCCAGUACAAACAGGAUGCUACUUGGGAAGAUGGCUGUCCGUUCGUCUGUACAUGCAUUGAUGCAACCAGUGCACAGUACCAGUGCCAGGAAAAGUAAAUACUUACUUUAAAAGUAACAGCCUUUUAUGCUUCCUCAAAAUUUGGAUAUAGGGGGCAUAAAGUUUUGAGUAUCAUAUGGUGUAUACACACAGUAAAUACUAAAACGGUGCCCAUGUUAUGUGGAUCCACAGCCAUAUUGUAAGAUGGUUCAGAAUCCUGCCACCAAGUGCUGCAUGAAACCCUUGUGCAAUGCUUGUUCACAAACACCUACACCACAGACAAACACACCAGAUGUAUAUGUAUACGAAGAAGUACAUACCAGGAAGGACAAUUGUGGUAUGAUGGCUGUAACAAUGUUUGUCGGUGUGGCAAUUCUAACAAAAACAUAUACACAUAUAGACAAAGAUUUGCAAUGCAUGCUACUAUCCCACAAGGCUGUGAACUGGUUCCUGACCCAAAAGAUCUUUUAUUCUGCUGGGUACCAAGUAGUUUGAUCCCUCCGAAAUAAACCAUUGGUAUAGUGGUUACUCCUGAACCUACUGGAACGGUAACAGAUGUCCACUGUUUCAACCUUCAUCUUGUCCUUGGAGAGCCGACCCUGCACACUUGUGUUGUUUGAUAUCAGAUGUAACAUUGGUAAAAUUCCUGCCACAGUCUAUCCACUAGGAUACAGCUAGUAUACAAUAAAUCCAAUCAUUAAACCAACACCAGUAACUGGUGGCUACAUCAUUGGUGGUGGACUGGUACUAUAUCAGACUGGUUCUGGCUUCAAAGAAUCAACAUGUGUGCUGUAUGUGACCUUGACACGCCUUGCUGCAACCUUGACACUCCUUGCUGCAACCUUGACACCCCUUGCUGCGACCUUGACACUCCUGCAGAGUUGUCUUCCUGCAUGUAUCCACACACAUGAAGUGCUGGCGGCUAACGAAGAACUGUGGUCUCAUACUGAUGCUUAUCCACAUUUUGUUUACAAUACUUACCUCCUUAUACAAGUUCAGUGUAUUUGGAUAUGUUCAUCCAAAAGAGUGUGAUUCAAAUGAUUAAAUAAUGGGUCAGUAAGAAUCCUAUGUCAAAGAGUUUAUAAGUAGAUCUCCUUCACUUUCUUCUUUUUUUCCCUUUUAUUUAUAUCGUAUUGUUGAAUUACAAUACAUUUUGGAAAUAUGAAUGUGUGAGUUGGGUUUUAAGGCGAAUCGACACAAAAUGGUCAUAUAUCGCCAAGUUUGGAUAUAUAUAUAUAUGUUGUAUGUGAUGAAUUAAAUGGUUGUAUAAUAUUAAAUUGUUUAAGUACAUUUUUUGUACACAUUUUUGACAUAGUUAAUUUGUACGGAAUACUUUACAUAAUAAUUAUAAAUGUUUUUCAGCCAUAAUUGUUUUUCCAGUAAAAUAGAAAUAUACAUCCCUUGAUAUUAAAAUGUGAAGCAAAAUAUGUAAUUCCAUUCAUCUGCUUUAAACACAGUCAUUUUGAGGUCUUUAUGUUGCAAUAGACAUUAUGUUAAUAUAUAGAGGCUAUUUUGUUUGUUUCAGUGUAAAAUAUAAAUAUCUUUCAGGAGUGAAUACCAGAGGCAGUAUUUUCAUGAAUGGCAUGAAAAUGUAAGACACAGUGUUCAUGUGUGAAAGAUAUUUAGAUUUUACAUGUAAAACAAUUUUUCUGUUUAUGUUUUGACAAAAUUUACCCAUUUUAUAGUUUC